rnacentral:rRNA from 1 species
AAAGGGUGCGUAGGUGGUUUGAUAAGUCAGUGGUGAAAGCCGGUUGCUCAACAAUCGAGUUGCCAUUGAUACUGUCGGACUUGAGAGAAGUGGAGGUUCAUGGAAUGGAUGGUGUAGCGGUGAAAUGCAUAGAUAUCAUCCAGAACGUCGAUUGCGAAGGCAGUGGGCUGUACUUUUUCUGACACUGAGGCACGAAAGCGUGGGGAUCAAACAGGAUUAGAUACCCUAGU